ensembl:lncRNA
GCUUCACGAAUUUGCAUGUCAUCCUUGCGCAGGGGCCAUGUGCUAAUCUUCUCUGUAUCAUUCCAAUUUUGGUAUAUGUGCUGCCGAAGCGAGCACCAUUUUUUUAUUUUUUAAUUGAAAAAUUACAAAUGAUGGUCAGUUUGUGCAUUAUAGAAAGAAAUAACCAUUGGACAAAACUAGUAUAACUAAAAUCAAAGGGAAAAUAGCACCUGGAGAAAACAUUCACAGCAAAUAUAAGACAGGGUUCAUUUCUAUGUUAUGUCAAGAGCUUAUGCAUGUUGAUACCAAAACAUUAAGUCCCCAAUAUAUAAACUAGCAAAAAACUGGAAAGACAAUUCGUAAAAACAGAGAUGCUACCAGUCAACAAGCAUCUGGGAAAACAAACAACUUCGCUUGUAACCAAAGAAAUGCCCCCCUCAAAUAAUGUGGUGCUGUCUAUACUCACUACUCUAGAGAAAAGGUAAAACUAUCGAGUAUUACAACACGGCACUAAAACCAGUCCCUACACAGGCUGUAGGUAGCCCUACUGCCACAUCACCUCUUGCCUAUACCUGUCAGGAACUGUCCUAAAAGUCCAAAAUGUCCCUUUAUCCUAAGGAUCUUUUAAAGAAUAAAAAUUCGAGCUACAUGAGACAUUCAUUACAAUGUCACUCUAACAACCUAAACACACACACACAUACAUACACGCAUAAAAGGCUCCCUAAACCCAACGACAGGAGGAUUAUUAAUGAAGGGUUAUAAGUCACUGGUUAGAACAAUAAUAAAAACUGCAGUGUAUCAAGUACCCUCCAAUACAUAACUUCCUUCAGUCCCCAACAGCCCCAGGAGUUGGAAAGGAGUAACUAACUGAGACUCAGAGAAAUUAAGUGACGUGCACAAAAUCACACAAGUGGCCCUCAAACACCUGCUACCAAAUUCCAGGCUCUCUCAAUAGAAAAGUGGGUCAUCGAACAUCGGUUCUGAGCUUCAGCUUCCUCAUCCAGCAAACGGGGCCAAUAAGAAUAUCCAAAGAGUGGUUAAGAGAAUCAAAGGAAGCCCUGCAAUGGCUGUGAACACCUAGCCUGGGGUGUGGGGCACAGCAGCACUCAGUAAAUUUUAAGAAUCGUGAUAAUACAAAGUGGUAUUAACGCAAGACGACUACAGCAAUGUCCACAGGUCUGCAAACGAGGAGAAUCCCCAAAGAGUGAGGAGUAAGGCUAAUGGCUGUCACGCAUAGCAAGGCGAAAGCAAAAACAUCGCUUUUCUUUUUGGAAUGAUUUUGGUUUUAGUAUAAUAAGUAGAAAUUUGGAGGGAAACAAAUGUAGAAUAUACAAAAAUGUCCUAAAAGGAACUGGCAUCUUCGAGGGAGCCUCAAACUAAAUCUGGGAUCACUGCCUCUAGGACGCCGGAAAUAAUAAGCUCAGGACCCGUGCCCCCUGGAGACAAUGUGUGCUGUGAGGAACUGGCCAGAGGAUGGCGCUGUUUCCCUUGUCUGAGGGACCAAGGAGGCAUUUAUUGGCCUCAAUAAUAUAUUAGUGUUAGUCUUUCUUUCAGUCUUCCUUAUCCUUUUUUUUUCCCCCUUAAAAGAGAUUCAGAAGCAUCUCAAGCAAAUCUCCAGGUAGUUGGGAAAUAGAUUCAAAUCCACUCUCAAUGAACAGCAACAUUCCAGAGGAGGGAUGCUUUGCAGUAAGGAAGUUCAUGGGAAAGACCAAGGAGAAUGUGGUUACCUCCCCCUUUGGUCAUGUGACUUAAUCUACCAUUAAUCUACCAUUAAGUGUGCUUGGAAAGAUCUGGCCACUGUUAGACCCCGGGAUUUUUGGUGUCAUUGCUUUGUUUUGUUUUUGAAACCUUAAAUCCCACACACAUUUUUAUUAUAAAGAUGAACCCUGAUAGUUGUGGUGGGCUUAUCGGCAAGAUUUCUGGUAGCAAGCAUGGGCACCAAGACCUCCAAACUAUCUGGAUUCGCAGCAACGAGGAUCAGCUACCAGGAGUCAUACAGGAUGGGGAUGUCUUUGAUCUCCUCCUUGGAAGCCUCGUCCAUGUUAUUUCUGGUAAUAGGCCACCAAGGCUUCGGAGAUGGACUGGCAGGUUGCGUAAAUCUGGGCCACGUGACCGCCACCCUUCACUCAGUCGAGGAUGUGCACACCAGCAAACCACUCCUUGCCCAGAAGCAGAAAAGGUUCCAGAAGCUUGUACUGCAGCCUGUGUGGUUUGAUCAUCUCCGGGGGCCACCCUUUCACUUGGAUGAGGCCAUUACCUCGUGUGCAGUGCCCCACGGCUGUGGAUGUCUUUUUGCGUCCAAAGACCUGCACCAACGGUGGAGGGCCCUUAGACAGCAUGGCUGCAGGCUAGACAGUAGUUCCAGCUCCUGGGGGUUUUCAUCUAUAAACUGGAAACCAUUCAAACCACCUUAGAGACAGGCUUCAGAGUAAUGAUGGGAAAAGCUAGAGGGCUACCUCAGCUUUUCCUCCCAAGAGUCAGUGAGGCCUGAAAAUCUCCACCCACUCCUAAGGCCCAGGUAGAAAGUCACUCCCCUCUCAGUGCCUGCUUCCUGACAGGCCUGUGAAAGGCAAGGAAGAAUCGGUGUGGCUGAGGCAUAGAAAUGAGGUCGAUCCAGGCUGUGGUCUUGCGCUUGAAUCGUGAGCAAUUGCCUACAUGAGUCAGAACUUAUGCAGUUGGUAUAUGAGCUCCAAUGAAGGAAGUGACAUGUGCAGCAAAGGAUAUAAAUUCAGAAGAGAAAUGUCAGGAGAUGACACAGAACCCAGCACGACCAGAGGCUGAAUCACACUGAGCUCAGACUCAGGUCCAAAUAGGCACCUCAAACUGAAAAUGUCAAACACCCAGCUCCAAGCCUCUGUCCUCACCUGCUCCACACACAGCCUUCCCGUCUCAGGUAACAGCAACGCCAUCCUUCCAAGCCCUCAGUCGGAGCCUGCUUAACUGCUCCCUCUCUCUCAUAUCUCAUAUCUCACAUCCAAUCCCAUGGGCUCUGUCUUCAAGAUAAACCCCCAAACCUCCUUCUCAUCACCCCCGCUACACCCCCGGCCCCGGUUCAAACCAUCGUCAUCUUCUGCUAGUCUUCUUGUGGGAGCCUCUUAACUGGUCUCUCCACUUCCACCUUUGCCCACCAUUCACCUUCUUCCCAACAUAGCAGCCAGAGGGAUCCUCUUAAAAUCAAAGUAGGAUGACACCUUAAAAGAACAAACCCAUAAAAGAACUGAUAAACUGGUUUGCAUCAAAAUUAAAACUUCUGUUCAGAGGACAUUUUUAAAGAAUAAUAAUAAUGGGGAGGGAACAGGAGGGGGGGUGGGAGGAGAAGCAGCAGCAAGCCACACACCAGGAGAAAAUAUUUGCGAAGCACAUAUCUGACAAAGAACUUGUACCCAGAACAUAUAAAGAACUCUCACAAUUCAAAAAGAGGAAAAUAAUCCAAUUUUAAAAACUGGGCAAACAAUCUGAACAGACACUUCACCAAAAAUAAGAUAUGCGGAUGGCAAAUAAGCACAUGAAUAAAUGCUCAACAUGAAUAGCCAUUAGGAAAAUGCAAAUUAAAACCACGGUGAGCUACCACUACCCAGGAGUUUCCAUCGUGGAGUAGCAGAAAUGAGUCCAACUAGGAACCAUGGGGUUGCAGAUUCGAUCCCUGGCCUUAAUCAGUGGGUUAAGGAUCCACCGUUGCCGUGAGCUGUGGUGUAGGUCACAGACACAGCUCAGAUCUGAUGUUGCUAUGGCUGUGGCAUUGGCCAGCAGCUGUAGCUCCAAUUCAACCCCUAGCCUGGGAACUUCCAUAUGCU